CAGCCGCCGCGGUAAUACGGAGGGGGCUAGCGUUGUUCGGAAUUACUGGGCGUAAAGCGCACGUAGGCGGUCUGUUAAGUCAGAUGUGAAAUCCCCGAGCUUAACUUGGGAACUGCAUUUGAAACUGGCAAGCUAGAGUCUUGUAGAGGGGGGUAGAAUUCCAGGUGCAGCGGUGAAAUGCGUAGAGAUCUGGAGGAAUACCGGUGGCGAAGGCGGCCCCCUGGACAAAGACUGACGCUCAGGUGCGAAAGCGUGGGGAGCAAACAGGAUUAGAUACCCCAGUAGUCCCUGUCUCUUAUAC
rnacentral:rRNA from 1 species